rnacentral:lncRNA from 1 species
AAAUAAGAUAAAUCCUCAUUAUGCUUCUCAAAACCCUAAAUUCUAUUUUCUGCAAAACCUUAUUCUUCAGUUUCUGUUAUUAUCUAGUAACCAAAUCGCCAAUAUACUGACAAAUUUCUCUAUUUCAAUUUAGGAACAAUUCUCACUAAUUUCAGAUUUUUCACAACUCUGGUACACAAAGAUGUCUUAAUACAUUAGGGUGAAAUUCCUAUUCUAAGAAAAUUUAUACUCAAAAUUGACUUUUAAUCAUUUAAUUGUAACAUUUAUUGAUAUUCAUUAGCAAAUGGAUAAAAAAACCUAGGAGAUCCAUAGCCUAUUCACGAUCAGAACUCAUUCAUUCAAGACACCCAAUUAAUUCACUUGUGAUUACCAUGUUUCAGCAAUUUCAUGUAAAUUAAUCUAUGGCUUCUACAGUAUUAUGCAUUGAAACAAACACCGACAUCGAAGAUAAAAUCUUAAAAAUCACUUAACAUACAUAUACAGACUCUUUUCUUUUCUAUUAGAUGUUAAAAAUAUCAAAGAAAUUAGAAGGAAAAAUACUCAAGAAGUUCAAUAACACUUUCAAUUUAAGUCAAUAAGUGAUGAACGUACCAUUUUUUGAGGAAUAAUUGACAAAUAUCCAAUAUCCAACCAACAACUAUGGGUGAAACGAUGUAGCUGAUAUCACGCAACAGUGAAUGCAAAAUUCAACCCUAAGGUUAACAUCUAAUGACCACCUUCAAAUAACCAAUCUGAAAUCGAAAAUCAGAAAUAGGAAAAUCAGUUUAACUUACACCUUUCUCUGGUAGCCUCCGAUUAGCCUCUCCGGUGGUGCAUCAGCGGCCGACCUACCUGUUUUUUGUUCCCGUCAACACACAUCAACAUAGAGGAAUCGAGAAUCGAUAUCCCUUUUAAUGACCACCUUCAAAUAACCAAUCUGAAAUCGGAAAUCAGAAAUAGGAAAAUUAGUUUAACUUACACCUUUCUCUGGUAGCCUCCGAUUAGCCUCUCUGGUGGUGCAUCGGCGGCCGACCUCCCUGUUUUUUGUUCCCGUCAACACACAUCAACAUAGAGGAAUCGAGAAUCGGUAUCCCUUUGCAUCGUUACUUUUGAGCUGUAUAAUUUUUUUCCUUUAUAUCCGAUGUAUCACAGCACCAAAGAACCGACAACUGGUGAGAAGUUGUGUCAACGACUCUGCGA